rfam:Sorghum bicolor cultivar BTx623 chromosome 9, whole genome shotgun sequence.
UUGGAGGCUGUGAUGCGUCAUGAUAAGGGAUUUUCUGAGGGACGGGGUUCCGCCCUGCUGAUUGAGAAUAACCAAUGGAUCCUUCUGAGCCUCUG